UUGAAAGUCAAAACGUAACAAGGUUUCCGUAGGUGUACCUGCGGAAGGAUCAUUAAUAAAACGAAUCUGCGGUUUAGGUCAGCCCUGACCGUAGUGUUUUAAACCAACUGUGAACUAAAACCUUAUUGCUUCGGUAGCUGGGUUCGGGUCCAACCGCCCUGCCCGUCAGCCUGCCGGCAGCAACCAAACCAAAACUUGCUUUAAAAAUUAUGUCUGAAACCAAUCAUUUUCGAAUGAAAAUUAAAACUUUCAACAACGGAUCUCUUGGUUCUCGCAUCGAUGAAGAACGCAGCGAAACGCGAUAGUUAAUGUGAAUUGCAGAAUUCAGUGAAUCAUCGAGUCUUUGAACGCACAUUGCGCCCAUCGGUAUUCCUUUGGGCAUGUCUGUUUGAGCGUCAUUUCAACUCUCUAUCCAUAAAUUUUUUUGUGCGAUUAGGUUUUGAGCUCGGUUUUGAUGGGUCAAACCACCAGCCGGCUUUAAAGUUGAACGCUCUGCGGGUGACUUUCUACCUGACCGAACAUAGUAAAAUUUUUAUUCUUGUUCUACUUGGUACCAAGUUGUUUACCCAGCCUGAACAAACUUAUAUUUCUAAGGUUUGACCUCAGAUCAGACAAGGAUACCCAGUCCUGAACUUAAGAUUUAACGGGGGAAAAAAAAUGUCCAAUUUGAGGAAACGUGAGAGCCGUGUCGCUUGCAGGACAGUCUCAGACGGCGGAUGUUGUGUGAAACUGCGCUGCCUUAUCAGGUAGUGACUGGGAGUCGAUAGCAGCAACAGCUAUCAACGCUUCGAAAGAAUGAACGGGAUGGGAUCGAUUGGGGUUUGAUGCACUAGCAGGACACUGCCAACUAGCUGCUAGUAGAAAUGAGACGCAGCUACGCUCGAUGCACGCGUCAGCAGAUCGGUCAAUCUCGGUAGUCUACUGCAUUUUUUUUUA
rnacentral:rRNA from 1 species